rnacentral:rRNA from 1 species
UAUUUUUUGUGUUUGUUUAUUUUUUAGUUUUGCAUACUAAUAAAGGAUUUUUAUAAUGGGUUUAUGGAAUAGAAAUAAAGAGUUUAAAGAGGAUUUAUUUUUGCUGUUGCGUAGUAAAUAUUAGUUUUUUCUUUGUUUUGAUAUGUCGAUCUUUAUUAUAUCUGUGUUGGUGUUUUGAUUUAGAAAGUUUUUGUUUGUUUGUUUUUUUUUGGAAUUGUAUGAUUUGGAGUUUUAGGUGUUGUUGUGUUGUGACUUUUUCUGAGUGUUGUUUUGAUUUUUUUGUGAGUUGGGCAUUAAGAUUUUAAUGUUUGUAGAGUCUUUGUUUUAGUAGAGUUUCUUUAUUUUUUGUGUUUGUUUAAUUUGUAUGGGAGAACUUGAUUUGUGAUUAAAUGUUUUUUAAAGACUUAGGCUUUUUGAUGAGGCUGUCUUCUGCUCUAUGAUUUGGUUUAAAUGGCCGCCUUAGCGUGAGGGCAUAAAAGUAGCAAAAUGAUUUGUAUUUUUAUUGGGUUCGAGUAUGAAGGAGGAUUUGGUUGCUUUUGUUUUUUAUUUGUGUUGAAUUAGGUGUGUAUUUAAGAAUUAAUAUUUGUAUUUAAGCAAAGAUAAGUCUUCGGAAAUUUUGUUGAUUGGUUUCUAUGGUGGAUGCUGAUCGGGUUGUUUAGGGCAAAGGUGUAUGUAGUUUGUUUUUACUAAGUGUAUUUAAUAAAGUUACUCCGGAGUUAACAGAAAUUUACGUUUUUUCCAGAUGUUAUGGUUGAAAGGGUUUUACAUCGAUGUUGUAUUCCGGUUGGGCAAAGGAGUAGGCGUUUUGUUUUUUGAGACUGUUCUUCUUUGAAUAAAUUGGACGUGAUAUUAGUUUAAUUCAUUGUGAAAUAGAAUUGAUUAUCUUGUUAAUUAUUGUUUUCUUUAGCGGCUAGUACGAAAGGAACGUUGUUGGGGUUUUAAAUUGUUUUUUG